AAAAUGGCGAACAGCCAUCAAAAUACUGAUUCAAAAUACACAUCUUUCACUGGACACACAAAUGGGUGCGCGCAGCAAAAUGCAGCCCUAAUGGCGAAUGUGUGCGAACGUUCACCGAGGGAAGAGGUAUGGGACGACAGCUGGCAUGGCAUCCAGACGGUAAUCUGGUGGCUUUAGCAUUAAGUUGUAACCGCUUUAAGAUAUUUGACAUAGCUGAAGGCGAACUAAUACAGUGCA